ensembl:lncRNA
CCCCACCCUCCCCUCUCAGGAAAACAUCACCUACAUCACAAACGCGGAAGUCCGGGACGCAAUACUGAACCUGACUUUGACGGCUCUGGCUCCCAAAUUCCCUCUCUUCCAAACCAGUGACUAUGAGCUGUGGUUCCAAAUUAAUCUCGUGGUCCUGCUGGCCAGCUUCAGUCCUUCAGUUUUGGUGGUGAUCCCCGCCAACCUCACCUGCGACUCUUACGACGCAAUAUUGAAAGGCAUGGAGAACGCUUUGGCGGUUCUCCCAACUGGAGUUGGAGUGGAGCUGAAGUCAAGCAUAGACAAACUUCGACAGUCACCACCAGAAGGCUGCACGCCCCCUCGCCCUGUGGGUUUCUGCAAAGAGACAAUAGUGGAUGAGGUGAGGCUGUGUGGAGGUGUCCACAGGUGAGUAUCGGUUUGGUGCCUGCUGAGAACAGAGAUAGGCUUUAAAGUGGUGAAAAUGGAUAACAUGUUUUUGUCCCUUGCAGUGGUGGACCCGGGAGCCAGCCUCCUUCCUCGGCUCAGCUGUGCGACUUCGCCAUCUCUGAUUAUGCCUGCUCUCCGGUAAGUCUUCCAUGAACGGUGCACCUGAAUGCCUGUCUUUGCAAAUACUCCCAUUUCUCUG